GACGAACGCUGGCGGCGUGCUUAACACAUGCAAGUCGAACGGAAAGGCCCUGCUUUUGUGGGGUGCUCGAGUGGCGAAAGGGUGUGUAACACGCGUGUAACCUGCCCUUUACUUUGGGAUAUCUUCUGGAAACUGGGGCUCAUACCGCGUAGGAGCUCCUGCUGCAGGGUGGGGGGUGGAAAGUUUCGGCGGUUGGGGAUGGACUCGCGGCUUAUCGGCUUGUUGGUGGGGUAGUGGCUUACCAAGGCUUGGACGGGUAGCCGGCCUGAGAGGGGGACCGGCGACAUUGGGACUGAGAUACGGCCCAGACUCCUACGGGAGGCAGCAGUGGGGAAUAUUACACAAUGGGCGGAAGCCUGAGGCAGCGACGCCGCGUGCGGGAUGACGGCCUUCGGGUUGUAAACCGCUUUCGCCUGUGACGAAGCGUGAGUGACGGUAAUGGGUAAAGAAGCACCGGCUAACUACGUG
rnacentral:rRNA from 1 species